UGUGCCUCAUGGAGCUGUCGUAAGGAAUCAGUUGAGUAAUUGAGAAUUCUACGCUCCAGCAAUAGCAGAGAUAGAUAACACAAAUGACUUUCGCCCGCCCAUGGCUGCCCAUGGACCAAUUGGCAUGUGCUUCCUUCCCUCUGAGGCCCAUAGAAGCCCUGGACUCAAUCUGACUCAAGGAGAUGAUGGGACUACCAGCUGCGGAAAGGAGCUACCCACUCCAAGGUCUCUGCUGAGAGCUGAACACUCAUCAAGACACCCUGCCUGCAGGGAGGAGUUACCCAAUGCAGGUCUCCUCUGAGCUGUUCCAUUGCUCAAUAAAACUCCUCUUUGCCUUGCUCACCCUCCACUUGUCCGUCUACCUCAUUCUUCCUGGACACAGGACAAGAAUUCGGGACCUGCAAAAGGGUUGUAACACAAACAGGGCUGAAACACAUCCCUUGCUCGCCAUAUUGUAGGUGACAAGAAGGAGAGAAAAGAGAAGGAGAGAAGAGCUGCAGCCCUUCUGGGAGCCCAGGCCUAGGAGAUCCCUGAGCCAGGGCUAUGACACCCUCUUUGGGGCUCUAUGGUUCCUGGUGUCUCCAAGCUUCCGGACGCCACUGCAUUCCUCGGUGCCAGCCGUGGAAGCUGCUGUGGUACAUUUGGUCCAGCCACAGCCUUGCAGGGAGCUGGCUCCCAUGCUGGUGCCUAUAGCUCCCCGCCCCACCGCUGCCGGCUUGCCUGGCCAUGCACAGUGGCCAGACCUCAUGCUCACUCAUGCACCCUUCGCCACUCCACACCUGGCCCGCCCUUGGCAGGUAUGGGAUUCAGGGAUCCAGCCCCAGCUGAUUGCAGCCUGCCAGGCCGAGUGGGUGGAAUGAGACCUGUGGGCCCAAGCAAAACUCAGGCAAAGGCACCACUGGCCACAUAGGUUUCCAGCUGGUGAAGUGACACCCCGAGAAUCCCAUGACAUUAUCAUACACUCUUCUUAAAAACUGAACCCGAGGGAAAAAAUGAUACCCUUGAACAGUGAGGCAUAA
rnacentral:lncRNA from 1 species